AUGAAGAAGAAAGAAGAAAAAAAUCAAUGGUUGGUGCGGGACAAACUAACAAGACCAAAAGGUAAGGGUGGGAUGGGUUUCCGUGAUCUCAUGUUUUUUAGUCAAGCUCUUUUGGCCAAACAGGCAUGGCGGUUGUUGGUUUACCCGCAUUCGCUAUGUGCAAAGUUGAUGAAGGCAAAGUAUUAUCCUCAGGGACAUAUUCUUGAUACGGUGUUUCCGCAUGCUAGUUCUGUGACUUGGCAAGGUAUUACACAUGGCAUGGAACUUCUUAAGAAGGGGCUCAUUUGCCGGGUAUGUGAUGGAUCUAGUAUUAAUAUAUGGAGGGAUAAUUGGAUACCUAGGAGGCAUGGCCUAAAAAUCUCAGCUAGAAGGCAUAAUACCAGGUUGAAAUUGGUACCUGAUUUAUUCAUGAGCGGCUGUGAGUGCUGGGAUGAAAAUUUGAUAUUCUAUCCACAUGAUGCGGAGGAAAUUCUUAAGAUUCGUAUUCAGGCGGGGAUUUUGUUGCAUGGCACCAUGAGAAGAAUGGUUUAUUUUCUGUUAAAAGUGCGUACAAUUUUGCGCUUAAUUUGA
rnacentral:rRNA from 1 species